rnacentral:rRNA from 1 species
UACGGGGGGGAGCAAGCGUUGUUCGGAUUUACUGGGCGUAAAGGGCGCGUAGGCGGUCAGCACAAGUCAGUUGUGAAAUCUCCGGGCUUAACUCGGAAAGGUCAACUGAUACUGUGCGACUAGAGUGCGGAAGGGGCAACUGGAAUUCUUGGUGUAGCGGUGAAAUGCGUAGAUAUCAAAGAGGAACACCUGCGGCGAAGGCGGGUUGCUGGGCCGACACUGACGCUGAGGCGCGAAAGCUAGGGGAGCGAACGGG